CCUACGGGGGGCAGCAGUGGGGAAUAUUGGACAAUGGGGCAACCCUGAUCCAGCCAUGCCGCGUGUGUGAAGAAGGCCCUCGGGUUGUAAAGCACUUUCAGUGAGGAAGAACGCCUGGUGGUUAAUACCCAUCAGGAAAGACAUCACUCACAGAAGAAGCACCGGCUAACUCCGUGCCAGCAGCCGCGGUAAUACGGAGGGUGCGAGCGUUAAUCGGAAUUACUGGGCGUAAAGCGCGCGUAGGUGGCUUGAUAAGCCGGUUGUGAAAGCCCCGGGCUCAACCUGGGAACGGCAUCCGGAACUGUCAAGCUAGAGUGCAGGAGAGGAAGGUAGAAUUCCCGGUGUAGCGGUGAAAUGCGUAGAGAUCGGGAGGAAUACCAGUGGCGAAGGCGGCCUUCUGGACUGACACUGACACUGAGGUGCGAAAGCGUGGGUAGCAAACAGGAUUAGAUACCCGAGUAGUC
rnacentral:rRNA from 1 species